rnacentral:rRNA from 1 species
GAUGAACGCUGGCGGCGUGCCUAAUACAUGCCAGUCGAGCGAACGGACGAGAAGCUUGCUUCUCUGAUGUUAGCGGCGGACGGGUGAGUAACACGUGGAUAACCUACCUAUAAGACUGGGAUAACUUCGGGAAACCGGAGCUAAUACCGGAUAAUAUUUUGAACCGCAUGGUUCAAAAGUGAAAGACGGUCUUGCUGUCACUUAUAGAUGGAUCCGCGCUGCAUUAGCUAGUUGGUAAGGUAAUGGCUUACCAAGGCAACGAUGCAUAGCCGACCUGAGAGGGUGAUCGCCCACACUGGAACUGAGACACGGUCCAGACUCCUACGGGAGGCAGCAGUAGGGAAUCUUCCGCAAUGGGCGAAAGCCUGACGGAGCAACGCCGCGUGAGUGAUGAAGGUCUUCGGAUCGUAAAACUCUGUUAUUAGGGAAGAACAUAUGUGUAAGUAACUGUGCACAUCUUGACGGUACCUAAUCAGAAAGCCACGGCUAACUACGUG